rnacentral:rRNA from 1 species
UAGGGAAUCUUCCGCAAUGGGCGAAAGCCUGACGGAGCAAUGCCGCGUGAGUGAAGAAGGCCUUCGGUCGUAAAACUCUGUUAUAAGAGAAGAACAAAUUGUUAGAGUAACUGCUACAGUCUUGACGGUAUCUUAUCAGAAAGCCACGGCUAACUACGUGCC